CCUACGGGAGGCAGCAGUAAGGAAUAUUGGUCAAUGGACGCAAGUCUGAACCAGCCAUGCCGCGUGAAGGAUUAAGGCCCUCUGGGUUGUAAACUUCUUUUAUAGGGGACGAAAAAAGGGCAUUCUUGCUCACUUGACGGUACCCUAGGAAUAAGCACCGGCUAACUCCGUGCCAGCAGCCGCGGUAAUACGGAGGGUGCAAGCGUUAUCCGGAUUUACUGGGUUUAAAGGGUGCGUAGGUGGGUUGGUAAGUCAGUGGUGAAAUCUUCGAGCUUAACUCGGAAACUGCCAUUGAUACUAUCAAUCUUGAAUCAUCUAGAGGUAAGCGGAAUAUGUCAUGUAGCGGUGAAAUGCUUAGAUAUGACAUAGAACACCAAUUGCGAAGGCAGCUUACUAUGGAUGCAUUGACACUGAGGCACGAAAGCGUGGGGAUCAAACAGGAUUAGAUACCCUGGUAGUCCACGCCCUAAACGAUGGAUACUCGACAUUUGUGAUAUACAAUAAGUGUCUGAGCGAAAGCAUUAAGUAUCCCACCUGGAAGUACGACCGCAAGGUUGAAACUCAAAGGAAUUGACGG
rnacentral:rRNA from 1 species